CAGGGUGUCUGUGUGGCAUAUACUGUCCAGAGCUGUGACCACAACAAGAGAUUAAGUGAAAUAACGUGACCUGAAUGUGAAAAGCAAUUCGAAUGCUACUCUUAGGCCUCUUCCAGACUGUUCUCUGUUUACGGCAGGGAUUGGUUCCCAAAACGGCGUUUCUUCCAGGAAUUCUGUGAGGAGCAGUGGUGAUGGUGAAUUUAAUCUCUCGCUGGGCGAGACAGCUUCAGUACUGAUACUCUCUGCCAGGAAAAACUGGAAACAGUACCGUGGAGUCAUUAAAAAAAAUGUCACAUAGGAAUUUUGUGUUUUAAUUUAAAUAGUUUCUAGACCUGCUGCAAUACUAAUGUGACUGAGGCAGUGUUGUUACAGGAUGACACUCCAGACGAUUGAGCCACACCAGCCAGGGCGGGAUCAGUGCUUUUAUAAAAGAGACCCCAGAGUCUCUGCCCCUCUCAUCAUAUAAGGACACAGCAAAAAGAUGACAGUCUGUGAACAGGAAGUGGGCUCUCAACAGAUACCGAAUCUGCUGGUGCCUUAAUCUUGGGCUUCCCAGCCUCCAGAAAUGUGAGAAAUAAAUGUUCUGUUUUU